rnacentral:lncRNA from 1 species
UCAAAUAAUAUUCAUAGAUAAUCUAAUCAUAAAUCCACAAUUCAUAGGAUCUCGACAAACACACCACAAAAGAAAGUUACAUCGCAUAGAUCUCCAUGAAGAUCAUGGAGAACUUUGCAUUGAAGAUCCAAGAGUGAGAAGAAGCCAUCUAGCUACUAGCUAUGGACCCGAAGGUCUGUGGUGAACUACUCACGCAUCAUCGAAGAGGCAAUGGUGUUGAUGAAGAAGCCCUCCGUGUACGAAUCC